UACGGGGGGAGCAAGCGUUGUUCGGAAUUAUUGGGCGUAAAGCGCUUGUAGGCGGCACGUCAAGUCGCGUGUGAAAUCCCCAGGCUUAACCUGGGAAGUGCGCGCGAAACUGACGAGCUUGAGUGCCGGAGAGGGUCGCGGAAUUCCCGGUGUAGAGGUGAAAUUCGUAGAUAUGACAUAGAACACCAAUUGCGAAGGCAGCUCGCUACACAUAUAUUGACUCUGAGGCACGAAAGCGUGGGGAUCAAACAGG
rnacentral:rRNA from 1 species